CCACUGUAUUCCAUUUUAAAUGGUAGUUUAUGUGCCAAAGCAGUUUUAAUCACUGGCACUGUCAACCCUGCCUGUUUCCCUGCUCCAUCACUACACUCUUCGCUCUCAGCCACUGCUAUGAAGCACAUUUGUGAUAGUUUUAGUCAAGGCCUUCCUCGGUGACCAGUUUGUAACCAAGGAAGUGGCCAUGUUCCCAGUAUUCCAUACGAUUUUUACAUAAGCCAGGGUAUAAAUAAGAAGGAGAGAGAAGCCUCUUCCCUGUUCUCUUCCAGUGGAUCUGAAGGCACAGGUUCUCUGCUGUUAGUCCUGCUCGUGUGGGGGAGUGAGGCCUAGUGAGGCCUAGUGAGGCCUUGUAGGCCUCGGGAGGUGGAGGGUGCUGGCAGUGCUUGGAGUGAUUCUGCUGUCUCAAGGAGAGUAGUAAGAUUUUCUUUUGCUAGUUCUUUAUUGAUUGUGCAUACCUGCUUUGGGUUUCUUUUGUGGUUUUUGUCCCUUUUACCUUUCCCUUCCCCUUCCCCUUUUGGGGGGGGGGGGUGUUUGGGGUUCUCUUUUUAUAUGUACAUAGUGUUGUAACUGUACAUAACUGUGAUAUAUGUAAAUAUAUAUAUUUUACUAUAGCUCGGUUGGUUUCUGGUCUUUCAGUUUCUAUAGGUUUUUUUCCUUUGCCCAAAGGGGAGGAGGAGGUUUUUGCUGUAGUCUGGGGGACUUGGCGCGAAGCCAACUCCAAACAGCUACAACAUUUCUACCAAAGAAACCCAUUUGCAGCUGAAACACAACACAAAGCCUGCCCUGUGCUCCCCUGGACUGAAGCUGGUUCAGGAGGGCUCAUGGAGCAAAUCCACAGCACUCACACUAUGAACUACACACAGAAAAAAAGGGAUAAACCCAGGGAGGGAACUGGUGCUACAAAUGGUGCUGGGGGUCCCCUGACAAUGGGAUUUCUGCCUCCCCACCGUUCUUCAAGCAGCACAUGCUGAGGGUGAAGCAUUGGAAGGUCCGUGUGCCAGAAAACUGAAGGUCACCUCUGGUUGGACUGGAGCAGGAUCACCUGUGACUUGAGGAAAUAUCAGAUUAUCCCCUCUUGGACCGGGUGGGAGGCAGGGACACU